rnacentral:lncRNA from 1 species
CGGGUUCGGUUUUGGGAUCCCCGGGCGCGGAUUUGGGAUCUCCGGGUUCGGUUUUGGGACUCCCGGGUUCGGCUUUGGGACCCCCCGCGUUCAGUUUUGGGACCCCCGGGUUCGCUUUUGGGACCCCGGGUUCGGUUUUCGGACCCCCGGGUCCGUUUUUUCAGACCCCCGGGUUCGAUUUUGGGACCCCGGGUUCGGUUUUUGGGACCCCCCGGUCCGUUUUUUGGGAGCCCCGGGUCCGGUUUUGGGACCCCCGGGUUCAGUUUUGGGAUCCCCGGGUUCGGCUUUGGGAUCCCCGGGUUUCGGCUUUGGGACCCCUGGGUUCGGCUUUGGGACCCCCGGGCGCGGAUUUGGGAUCUCAGGGUUCGGUUUUGGGACCCCCAGGUUCAGUUUUGGGACCCCCGGGUUCGGUUUUUGGAACCCCCGGGUUCGGAUUUGGGACCCCCGGGUCCGGUUUUGGGACCCCCGGGCGCGGAUUUGGGAUCUCCGGGUUCGGUUUUGGGACGCCCACGUUCGGUUUUGGGACCCCCGGGGUCCGGUUUUGGUACCCCAGGUUCAGUUUUGGGACCCCCGGGUUCGGUUUUGGGAUUCCCGGGUCCGGUUUGGGAUCCCCGGGUUCGGUUUUGGAACCCCCGGGUUCGGUUUUGGGACCCCCGGGUCCGGUUUUGGGACCCCCCACGUUCGGUUUUGGGACCCCCGGGUCCGGUUUUGGGAUCCCCCGGUCCGUUUUUUGGGAUCCCCCCUCGGGUGCGAUUUUGGGACCCCCCUCGGGUGCCACUGCGUAUUUGGGGUGGGUCGGACCCCAAAUCCGUGGGGGCGUCCGGGGGCUGCGACCCCCCCCCGGGGGCGGGGCCGGUGACGCGGGGCCCGGGAGGCUCCCGGGAAACGGCGAAUCCCGGAAAACAUUCCCAAAAAAACGGGGGAAAACGGGGCAAAAACGGCAGGAGCGGGACGAGGAGGAGGAUGGGGAGGAGGAGGAGGAGGAGGAGGAGGAGGAGGAGGAGGAGGAGGAGGCGCAGCGGGCGCGGCCCCGCGGCCGGUACCGGUCGGACCGGCUGGAGCGAGAGUCCCGCGGGGCGGCGGGGACCCGC